GAAAGAACGUAGCGAAAUGCGAUAAGUAAUGUGAAUUGCAGAAUUCAGUGAAUCAUCGAAUCUUUGAACGCAUCUUGCGCUCCUUGGUAUUCUGAGGAGCAUGCCUGUUUGAGUGUCAUUAAAUUCUCAACUACACUGACUUUGAAUUGGUGUGGCUUGGAUUUGGGGGGAAAAUUGUUGUGGGCUUUUUGUAUAGUCUGCUCCCCUGAAAUUGAUUAGCGGUACCUUUGUGGAACUGUCUACAGGUGUGAUAAUUAUCUACAUCUUAGACAUCUGCUGGAAUGCUGCUUUCUAAACCUUACUUGUAUUGACAAUCUUGACCUCAAAUCAGGUAGGACUACCCGCUGAACUUAAGCAUAUCAAUAAGCGGAGGA
rnacentral:misc_RNA from 1 species